rnacentral:rRNA from 1 species
AGAGUUUGAUCCUGGCUCAGGACGAACGCUGGCGGCGUGCUUAACACAUGCAAGUCGAACGAAGCUUGAUUACGGAUUCUUCGGAUGAAGUAUGAUAUGACUGAGUGGCGGACGGGUGAGUAACGCGUGAGUAACCUGCCCUUCAGAGGGGGAUAGCGUUUGGAAACGAACGGUAAUACCGCAUAAUGUAUUUUGACCGCAUGAUCGAAAUACCAAAGAUUUAUCGCUGAAGGAUGGACUCGCGUCUGAUUAGGUAGUUGGUGGGGUAACGGCUUACCAAGCCGACGAUCAGUAGCCGGACUGAGAGGUUGAUCGGCCACAUUGGGACUGAGACACGGCCCAGACUCCUACGGGAGGCAGCAGUGGGGAAUAUUGCACAAUGGGCGCAAGCCUGAUGCAGCAACGCCGCGUGAAGGAAGACGGUUUUCGGAUUGUAAACUUCUGUUCUUAGUGAAGAAUAAUGACGGUAGCUAAGGAGCAAGCCACGGCUAACUACGUGCCAGCAGCCGCGGUAAUACGUAGGUGGCAAGCGUUGUCCGGAAUUACUGGGUGUAAAGGGAGCGCAGGCGGGUGAUCAAGUCAGCUGUGAAAACUACGGGCUUAACCCGUAGACUGCAGUUGAAACUGUUCAUCUUGAGUGAAGCAGAGGUAGGCGGAAUUCCCGGUGUAGCGGUGGAAUGCGUAGAUAUCGGGAGGAACACCAGUGGCGAAGGCGGCCUACUGGGCACCAACUGACGCUGAGGCUCGAAAGUGUGGGUAGCAAACAGGAUUAGAUACCCUAGUAGUCCACACCGUAAACGAUGAUUACUAGGUGUUGGAGGAUUGACCCCUUCAGUGCCGCAGUUAACACAAUAAGUAAUCCACCUGGGGAGUACGACCGCAAGGUUGAAACUCAAAGGAAUUGACGGGGGCCCGCACAAGCAGUGGAGUAUGUGGUUUAAUUCGACGCAACGCGAAGAACCUUACCAAGUCUUGACAUCCUGCGACGGUUCUGGAAACAGAGCUUUCCUUCGGGACGCAGAGACAGGUGGUGCAUGGUUGUCGUCAGCUCGUGUCGUGAGAUGUUGGGUUAAGUCCCGCAACGAGCGCAACCCUUAUGGUCAGUUACUACGCAAGGGGACUCUGGCCAGACUGCCGUUGACAAAACGGAGGAAGGUGGGGAUGACGCCAAAUCAUCAUGCCCUUUAUGACUUGGGCUACACACGUACUACAAUGGCGUUAAACAAAGAGAAGCAAGACCGCGAGGUGGAGCAAAACUCAGAAACGACGUCCCAGUUCGGACUGCAGGCUGCAACUCGCCUGCACGAAGUCGGAAUUGCUAGUAAUCGUGGAUCAGCAUGCCACGGUUAAUACGUUCCCGGGCCUUGUACACACCGCCCGUCACACCAUGAGAGCCGGGGGGACCCGAAGUCGGUAGUCUAACCGCAAGGAGGACGCCGCCGAAGGUAAAACUGGCGAUUGGGGUGAAGUCGUAACAAGGUA